rnacentral:rRNA from 1 species
CCUACGGGAGGCUGCAGUGGGGAAUAUUGGACAAUGGGGGCAACCCUGAUCCAGCCAUGCCGCGUGUGUGAAGAAGGCCCUCGGGUUGUAAAGCACUUUCAGUGAGGAAGAACGCCUGGUGGUUAAUACCCAUCAGGAAAGACAUCACUCACAGAAGAAGCACCGGCUAACUCCGUGCCAGCAGCCGCGGUAAUACUGAGGGUGCGAGCGUUAAUCGGAAUUACUGGGCGUAAAGCGCGCGUAGGUGGCUUGAUAAGCCGGUUGUGAAAGCCCCGGGCUCAACCUGGGAACGGCAUCCGGAACUGUCAAGCUAGAGUGCAGGAGAGGAAGGUAGAAUUCCCGGUGUAGCGGUGAAAUGCGUAGAGAUCGGGAGGAAUACCAGUGGCGAAGGCGGCCUUCUGGACUGACACUGACACUGAGGUGCGAAAGCGUGGGUAGCAAACAGGAUUAGAUACCCCGGUAGUC